rnacentral:rRNA from 1 species
CAAAUCAGGUAGGACUACCCGCUGAACUUAAGCAUAUCAAUAAGCGGAGGAAAAGAAACUAACAAGGAUUCCCCUAGUAACUGCGAGUGAAGCGGGAAAAGCUCAAAUUUAAAAUCUGGCGGUCUUUGGCUGUCCGAGUUGUAAUCUAGAGAAGUGUUAUCCGCGCUGGACCGUGUACAAGUCUCCUGGAAUGGAGCGUCAUAGAGGGUGAGAAUCCCGUCUUUGACACGGACUGCCAGGGCUUUGUGAUGCGCUCUCAAAGAGUCGAGUUGUUUGGGAAUGCAGCUCAAAAUGGGUGGUAAAUUCCAUCUAAAGCUAAAUAUUGGCGAGAGACCGAUAGCGAACAAGUACCGUGAGGGAAAGAUGAAAAGAACUUUGGAAAGAGAGUUAAACAGUACGUGAAAUUGCUGAAAGGGAAACGCUUGAAGUCAGUCGCGUUGGCUGGGAAUCAACCUUGCUUUUUUGCUUGGCGUACUUUCCAGUUGACGGGUCAGCAUCAAUUUUGACCGUUGGAUAAAGGCUUGGGGAAUGUGGCAUCUUAGGAUGUGUUAUASCCCCUGGUUGCAUACAACGG